AUUGAACGCUGGCGGCAGGCUUAACACAUGCAAGUCGAGGGGCAGCAGCUUUAUAGCAAUAUAGAGGCUGGCGACCGGCAAACGGGUGCGGAACACGUACACAACCUUCCUUUAAGAGGGGGAUAGCCCAUAGAAAUGUGGAUUAAUACCCCGUAACAUAUCGGUGUGGCAUCACACUGUUAUUAUAGUUUCGACGCUUGAAGAUGGGUGUGCGGCUGAUUAGGUAGUGUGCGGGGUAAAGGCCCACCAAGCCUUCGAUCAGUAGCUGAUGUGCGAGCAUGAUCAGCCACACGUGCACUGGGACACGGGCCCGACUCCUACGGGAGGCAGCAGUAAGGAAUAUUGGGCUAUGGACGAAAGUCUGAACCAGCCAUGCCGCGUGAAGGAUGAAGGUCCCCUGGAUUGUAAACUUCUUUUAUAGGGGGCGAAAAAAGGGAAUUCUUUCUCACUUGACAGUACCCUAUGAAUAAGCACCGGCUAACUCCGUGCCAGCCGCCGCAGUAA
rnacentral:rRNA from 1 species